rnacentral:rRNA from 1 species
UACGAAGGGUGCAAGCGUUACUCGGAAUUCCUGGGCGUAAAGCGUGCGUAGGUGGUUUGUUACGUCUGUUGUGAAAGCCCCGGGCUCAACCUGGGAAUGGCAAUGGAUACUGGCAAGCUAGAGUGCGGUAGAGGGUAGUGGAAUUCCCGGUGUAGCGGUGAAAUGCGUAGAGAUGUGGAGGAACACCGAUGGCGAAGGCAGCCCCCUGGGUUAACACUGACGCUCAGGCACGAAAGCGUGGGGAGCAAACAGG